rnacentral:rRNA from 1 species
GACGUAGGGCGCGAGCGUUGUCCGGAAUUACUGGGCGUAAAGCGCACGUAGGCGGCUUUCUAAGUCGGGGGUGAAAUCCUGGAGCUCAACUCCAGAACUGCCUUCGAUACUGGAAAGCUCGAGUCCGGGAGAGGUGAGUGGAACUGCGAGUGUAGAGGUGAAAUUCGUAGAUAUUCGCAAGAACACCAGUGGCGAAGGCGGCUCACUGGCCCGGUACUGACGCUGAGGUGCGAAAGCGUGGGGAGCAAACAGG